GGGCCCCAAAAGGUUACUGACUUCAGCCAAACUCCGAAUGCCGGUAAGUGAGAGCGCAGCAGUGAGACGGUGGGGGAUAAGCUUCAUCGUCGAGAGGGAAACAACCCAGACCACCAUCUAAGGUCCCUAAGCGCGUGCUAAGUGGGAAAGGAUGUGGAGUUGCAUAGACAACCAGGAGGUUGGCUUAGAAGCAGCCACCCUUGAAAGAGUGCGUAAUAGCUCACUGGUCAAGUGAUUCCGCGCCGACAAUGUAACGGGGCUCAAGCACGCCACCGAAGUUGUGGCAUUUAUAUUAUAGGCAGGCCUUCGUGGUCCAGCCGUAUGGAUGGGUAGGAGAGCGUCGUGUGGCCAGCGAAGCGGCGGUGUGAACCAGCCGUGGAGGCCACACGAGUGAGAAUGCAGGCAUGAGUAGCGAAAGACGGGUGAGAAACCCGUCCUCCGAAAGACCAAGGGUUCCAGGGCCAGGCUAAUCCGCCCUGGGUAAGUCGGGACCUAAGGCGAGGCCGACAGGCGUAGUCGAUGGACAACGGGUUGAUAUUCCCGUACCGAUGAAGAACCGCCCAAGACAAUCCAGUAAUGCUAAGUGUCUGAAUCCUUGAUUCGAUCCCUUCGGGGUGACGGUCUUGGCCUAGCACACGACCCUACGCUGGGGCGUUUAGCGUAUUAACAGGUGUGACGCAGGAAGGUAGCUGAGCCGGGCGAUGGUUGUCCCGGUCUAAGGAUGUAGGGCAGAAGAUAGGCAAAUCCGUCUUCUAUGUAGCCUGAGACCCGAUGGGUAGUCCUCACGGACGAAAUCAGUGAUCCUAUGCUGCCGAGAAAAGCAUCGACGCGAGGUUCCAAUCGCCCGUACCCCAAACCGACUCAGGUGGUCAGGUAGAGAAUACUAAGGAGAUCGAGAGAAUCGUGGUUAAGGAACUCGGCAAAAUGCCCCCGUAACUUCGGGAGAAGGGGGGCCUGAGGCGUGUAGGGAUUUACUCCUGAAGCGUUUGAAGGCCGCAGAGACCAGUGGGAAGCGACUGUUUACUAAAAACACAGGUCCGUGCUAAGUCGCAAGACGAUGUAUACGGACUGACGCCUGCCCGGUGCUGGAAGGUUAAGAGGAACGGUUAGCACGCAAGUGCGAAGCUGAGAAUUUAAGCCCCAGUAAACGGCGGUGGUAACUAUAACCAUCCUAAGGUAGCGAAAUUCCUUGUCGGGUAAGUUCCGACCUGCACGAAUGGCGUAACGACUUCCCAGCUGUCUCAACCGCGAACUCGGCGAAAUUGCACUACGAGUAAAGAUGCUCGUUACGCGCAGCAGGACGGAAAGACCCCGUGACCUUUACUACAGCUUGGUAUUGGUGUUCGGUGUGGCUUGUGUAGGAUAGGUGGGAGACUGUGAAGCUCGGACGCUAGUUCGGGUGGAGUCAUUGUUGAAAUACCACUCUGGUCACUCUGGAUAUCUAACUUCGAACCGUAAUCCGGUUCAGGGACAGUGCCUGGUGGGUAGUUUAACUGGGGCGGUUGCCUCCUAAAGAGUAACGGAGGCGCCCAAAGGUUCCCUCAACCUGGUUGGUAAUCAGGUGUCGAGUGUAAGUGCACAAGGGAGCUUGACUGUGAGACUGACAAGUCGAGCAGGGACGAAAGUCGGGACUAGUGAUCCGGCAGUGGCUUGUGGAAGCGCUGUCGCUCAACGGAUAAAAGGUACCUCGGGGAUAACAGGCUGAUCUUGCCCAAGAGUCCAUAUCGACGGCAUGGUUUGGCACCUCGAUGUCGGCUCGUCGCAUCCUGGGGCUGGAGUAGGUCCCAAGGGUUGGGCUGUUCGCCCAUUAAAGCGGUACGCGAGCUGGGUUUAGAACGUCGUGAGACAGUUCGGUCCCUAUCCGCUGCGCGCGUAGGAAAUUUGAGAAGAUCUAUCCCUAGUACGAGAGGACCGGGAUGGACGAACCUCUGGUGUGUCAGUUGUUCCGCCAGGAGCACCGCUGAUUAGCUACGUUCGGAACGGAUAACCGCUGAAAGCAUCUAAGCGGGAAGCCGGCUUCGAGAUGAGAUUUCCAUCCCUUUUAGGGUGAAGGCUCCCGGCUAGACUACCGGGUUGAUAGGCAGGAUGUGGAAGCGAGGACUAAAGACUCGUGGAGCUGACCUGUACUAAUAAGCCGAUAUCUUGAAAACA
rnacentral:rRNA from 1 species